rfam:Corchorus olitorius cultivar O-4 contig19024, whole genome shotgun sequence.
GGGAAAAGAAGGCGUUAGAUUAGCCAAGGUGACUGCCUGGCAACCUCAAAAAGAGUUUCAACGCAUUUUGCAUUUUGAACCUCUUAAUUUGGAAAAGGUGCAGGCAAGUCAUCCUUGGCUACCAAACAUGCACUCUUUUCU